rnacentral:rRNA from 1 species
AUGGCGCAAUGGUGGAACGAGUGGCAGCUGCGCAUCCUCGUCCUCGCCAGCCUCGGCACCCAAUACCUCCACGCGUUGCUUGCCUGCCAUCACAAGUUUCAUAUCCCGUCAUGGCUUAGAGUUUCGGUUCGGCUGGCGCACAUCGGCAGCGACCCUCUGGCCUUGUUCGCUCUCGCCGUGCUCUUCAACCGUCAAAAGAAUGGGCCGCGCUGCAGCUACGGGCAUGGCAACCGCGACUUGGAGCUGUUAUGGGCGCCCAUCCUGGUGAUGCACCUCGGCGGACAGGUCGUCAUGGCCACCUACAAGCUUCAAGUCAGCGACCAGUGGAGCCGCCCCAUCCUGACUUCUCUGUCCAAGGUUAGUGCAACGUCUAGCGUGCCUGUUUUCAUUUUGUCACCUUCAGAAGGAAUUUACCAUGCUUGUCUCUUUACUUUUCCAAUCGACCCGUACUGA